GACCGUUUCGGUGGCUUAGUGGUUAGAGCGCCAGCCACAGAUGCGGGAGGUCGUGGGUUCUAUACCUUGUCGAGUCA